CCUACGGGGGGCAGCAGUGGGGAAUAUUGGACAAUGGGGGGAACCCUGAUCCAGCCAUGCCGCGUGUGUGAAGAAGGCCCUCGGGUUGUAAAGCACUUUCAGUGAGGAAGAACGCCUGGUGGUUAAUACCCAUCAGGAAAGACAUCACUCACAGAAGAAGCACCGGCUAACUCCGUGCCAGCAGCCGCGGUAAUACGGAGGGUGCGAGCGUUGAUCGGAAUUACUGGGCGUAAAGCGCGCGUAGGUGGCUUGAUAAGCCGGUUGUGGAAGCCCCGGGCUCAACCUGGGAACGGCAUCCGGAACUGUCAAGCUAGAGUGCAGGAGAGGAAGGUAGAAUUCCCGGUGUAGCGGUGAAAUGCGUAGAGAUCGGGAGGAAUACCAGUGGCGAAGGCGGCCUUCUGGACUGACACUGACACUGAGGUGCGAAAGCGUGGGUAGCAAACAGGAUUAGAUACCCUUGUAGUC
rnacentral:rRNA from 1 species